CAUUGUUGAAGUUUUGAAGUUGUUUUCUACUAAAAGAAAUCUUGUGUUGACUGAAUUAGUUUAAAAAAAUAUUUGUUUGUGUUUGCAUCCACUGGGAGAACUCCCUCCCGAAAGAGAGCGUUCCCCCAACGAACAAAAGAAUAGUAGUAAAGUAAACUCCACUGUGUGUAGUAAUUAGAAAGUGUCGAGUCGUGUGAUAAAACACCUCCUUUGGAAUAGAGAGAUCCACGCACACUCCCAGGUCUUUGUCGGCUCCCUCCCCCCACUGCAGAACACCCACCAACCGCGCACUUAAGCGCAGGCAGGAGAAAUAGCAUUCACAGCAGAGAAAAUAUUUUAGGAGCCUCCUGAGUGUCUACACUGGUCCUCCCCAGAGAUGUCUCUCUCCGAGCUCAGACAAAUCGAUUAAAUUUCUUUAAUGAAUCGAAUC
rnacentral:rRNA from 1 species